UUGAAGAUCCAACAGUCAGACCUUGAAGACACCAGUGGGCAGACAUUGAAGAUCCAACAGUCAGACCUUGAAGACACCAGUGGGCAGACAUUGAAGAUCCAACAGUCAGACCUUGAAGACACCAGUGGGCAGACAUUGAAGAUCCAAUAGUCAGACCUUGAAGAUGCCAGUGAUCAGACCUUGAAGAUAGCAACAGUUAGACCUUGAAGAGACCAGUAGACAGAACCUGAAGAUCUAACAAUCUGAUCUUGAAGAUGCCAGCAGGCAGAUCUUGAAGAAGACCUUGAAG
rnacentral:lncRNA from 1 species